AUGGGAGGAGACCCCUGUCCAUAUGUCGUGGGAGCUAUCCACCACCCCAAAAGUACACUCGCUGAACCUAGCUUGCAGCCCGCUUGCCUGACAGGUUUUGCUGCAAACGCUGUUAAUCUACGUGACAGCAGGUUGUCUCUUACCGUAGGCAGCAGCGGCUCCAUUUGGGCUCCCUGGUCUUUAAUCUCCAUGUUCUGUAACGCCUCUGGAAUAAGCACCUUUCUCUGCAGUAUCUUCAGUGUCUUACACUCAGCCCGGCACUCGCUCUGCUUAGUAUUCGGAUCAGGUAGCUCUGAAGCAGGAGGCAAUUGCACACUCCAACUCACCAGAGUCACAUGGCUCCUACUCACUCGGGCUGCUGGCCAGGUUUUGCACUGAAUGCCUUGGAUUCCUUGGCCGGUAAGAGAGAUUUCCCCAGGCCGGUAUCACUGCCCACACCUGGCUACUGGCAUAAAGUACAGUCUGCAAUGCUGCAAGUCUGAUGGACAUUAAGACACUCACAUAAGAUGCUAACUUCUUAUAUAGACUAGUUCAAGGUGGACUCCAAUCAGCUCAGCCAGAUUUUGACGCUUUGAACCAAUUCACUUUAUUCCCAGAAACUGACAGGAGACAAAAUUCAAACAAGAUGAUGCUAAUAAGGUACUUGGUAUCCUGCUCUGAAUACCUGGGGUCACUAAAAACACAUAAGAUGACAUCAAAAUUGAUCUGUUAGUGAAACUAAAUUAUGCACUAACAAAAUAAUCCAGCAUUUUAGGUCAAUGCUGACUUAAUAAGAAUUUGGCAGUCGAAUACUUUCAAUAUUUUAAUUGUGAAAACCUUAGAUAUCACACAUUGUUACAACUAAAAUAUCCUUCUAUUAUUUCCCAACAAAAAUAACAGGGCAAGAAUGUAUUUUUGAGUAACUAAUAAUUAUCAAAGAUUAUAACUGUAUAAUAUUGAGAAGUAUAGGACAAAAUACAAUUAUUGGAGGACAAUUGCUCUACGAUAUCCUGUUAGCCUCUGCCACACAUCAACACGAAUCAGCCAUAGGUAUACACAUGUCCCCUCCCAGCUGAACCCCCCUCCCAUCUCUCUCCCUGUGUAUUUUUGCAUCAUUGCUCCGAAAGGAUACUAAAGAACUUUGAAAAGAAUGAAUCUAAACCAAAGUAGCCCAAGAACAUACUCUUUUGCUUUACAAGUCUCAGUGAAAGAGGGGUGGGGAAUUCUCCAACUAAUACAUGGAAGAAAAAAAAAGUUCAAGAAGCUCUUCUGUAGGAAAAGCGGUUGAUACUGUUUUCUGAGUGACUACAUAUUUCCUAAAGUAAUGAAGUCAUAUAUCAGUGGACCCCAGAUUGAGU
rnacentral:lncRNA from 1 species